UAACGCGUGGGAAUCUGCCCUCAGGUACGGAAUAACUCAGGGAAACUUGAGCUAAUACCGUAUAAUGACUUCGGUCCAAAGAUUUAUCGCCUGAGGAUGAGCCCGCGUCGGAUUAGCUAGUUGGUGAGGUAAAAGCUCACCAAGGCGACGAUCCGUAGCUGGUCUGAGAGGAUGAUCAGCCACACUGGGACUGAGACACGGCCCAGACUCCUACGGGAGGCAGCAGUGGGGAAUAUUGGACAAUGGGCGCAAGCCUGAUCCAGCAAUGCCGCGUGAGUGAUGAAGGCCUUAGGGUUGU
rnacentral:rRNA from 1 species